rnacentral:rRNA from 1 species
GUGGGGAAUCUUGCGCAAUGGGCGAAAGCCUGACGCAGCAACGCCGCGUGCGGGAAGAAGGCCUUCGGGUUGUAAACCGCUUUCAGCAGGGAAGAGGGCGAGCAGGUUAAUAGCCUGUCAGCUGACGGUACCUGCAGAAGAAGGCCCGGCUAACUACGUGCCAGCAGCCGCGGUAAUACGUAGGGGCCGAGCGUUGUCCGGAAUCAUUGGGCGUAAAGAGCGUGUAGGCGGCCACUUAAGUCCUGCGUGAAAUCUCGGGGCUCAACCCCGAGCGGUCGUGGGAAACUGGGUGGCUAGAGUGCGGGAGAGGAGAGUGGAAUUCCUGGUGUAGCGGUGGAAUGCGCAGAUAUCAGGAAGAACACCCGUGGCGAAGGCGGCUCUCUGGAACGCAACUGACGCUGAGACGCGAAAGCGUGGGGAGCAAACAGGAUUAGAAACCCUAGUAGUCC